GCAAGUCGAACGCUUCUUUCCUCCCGAGUGCUUGCACUCAACUGGAAAGAGGAGUGGCGGACGGGUGAGUAACACGUGGGUAACCUACCCAUCAGAGGGGGAUAACACUUGGAAACAGGUGCUAAUACCGCAUAACAGUUUAUGCCGCAUGGCAUAAGAGUGAAAGGCGCUUUCGGGUGUCGCUGAUGGAUGGACCCGCGGUGCAUUAGCCAGUUGGUGAGGUAACGGCUCACCAAGGCCACGAUGCAUAGCCGACCUGAGAGGGUGAUCGGCCACACUGGGACUGAGACACGGCCCAGACUCCUACGGGAGGCAGCAGUAGGGAAUCUUCGGCAAUGGACGAAAGUCUGACCGAGCAACGCCGCGUGAGUGAAGAAGGUUUUCGGAUCGUAAAACUCUGUUGUUAGAGAAGAACAAGGACGUUAGUAACUGAACGUCCCCUGACGGUAUCUAACCAGAAAGCCACGGCUAACUACGUGCCAGCAGCCGCGGUAAUACGUAGGUGGCAAGCGUUGUCCGGAUUUAUUGGGCGUAAAGCGAGCGCAGGCGGUUUCUUAAGUCUGAUGUGAAAGCCCCCGGCUCAACCGGGGAGGGUCAUUGGAAACUGGGAGACUUGAGUGCAGAAGAGGAGAGUGGAAUUCCAUGUGUAGCGGUGAAAUGCGUAGAUAUAUGGAGGAACACCAGUGGCGAAGGCGGCUCUCUG
rnacentral:rRNA from 1 species